GCAGAAGGAAGCAUUUCCGAUCGAAAAAAAUUGAUAUCGAAAUCCUGUUUUUUGAGCAAAUCUCGUAAGUUAUAAGAGGUAGAGCCACCUAAUAUCGCAAGUAGCUUCUUAAAUGGUAUAUGGCGGCGGGCAACCGCGGUUUCCUGUCCUGCAAGAAAAAAGCGGGACUAAAACACGGGACUGAAACACGCCAGAGGAGGACCGACGAAGUUACUACAUAUACACGACUGAUUUGUUGUGUUAUUUUCUAACUUACCAGAUGUCUCGCAAGUUUCCAAUAGAGAAACUUCUUU